UGCUGCCCAGACACAGCCAGAGCCAGGCCCUGCCCCAGCUGGGAUCAGGGCCCUGUUGUGCCAGGCGCUGCCCAGACACAGCCAGAGCCAGGCCCUGCCCCAGCUGAGGUUGGUUCUGUUGUGCCAGGCGCUGCCUAGACAUGCAGGCAGAGACAGUU